CACCGUUUGUGUUUCUAAAAAUCUGUUGUAAAACGCACGAUCUAAUGAACCACACCUAUACGUGUAGAAACUAUUGGAUUUAAAACCUUCUGAUACAGAUAGUAGGUAUAUAAAUGUAUAAUAGUAUAAUACUCCGAGAAAUUCGCGGUGUAAAUAUAUUGUGCUCAGACAAGACUGCAAUUUAUAUUCAAAAACCAACGACGGCAAUUUUAUGUAAUUCGGACACACC